GACGAACGCUGGCGGCGUGCUUAACACAUGCAAGUCGAACGGAAAGGCCCUGCUUUUGUGGGGUGCUCGAGUGGCGAACGGGUGAGUAACACGUGAGUAACCUGCCCUUGACUUUGGGAUAACUUCAGGAAACUGGGGCUAAUACCGGAUAGGAGCUCCUGCUGCAUGGUGGGGGUUGGAAAGUUUCGGCGGUUGGGGAUGGACUCGCGGCUUAUCAGCUUGUUGGUGGGGUAGUGGCUUACCAAGGCUUUGACGGGUAGCCGGCCUGAGAGGGUGACCGGCCACAUUGGGACUGAGAUACGGCCCAGACUCCUACGGGAGGCAGCAGUGGGGAAUAUUGCACAAUGGGCGGAGGCCUGAUGCAGCAACGCCGCGUGCGGGAUGACGGCCUUCGGGUUGUAAACCGCUUUCGCCUGUGACGAAGCGUGAGUGACGGUAAUGGGUAAAGAAGCACCGGCAAACUACGU
rnacentral:rRNA from 1 species